ACUCAGCUGGAAGGGGAUGCCCUGCCCUCCCUCCUUGUCCUGCUCCUUCUUUCCCCAAACCUAGAUUUCUGAGCUGCAGCAGCCACCCCACAGCCAGAAAGCCAGGCAGUGGACGGAAGGAAGACUGGAGGAGAACUUUCCAGGCUGGGGACAUGGUUCAGCUACACUGCCUGGGGUAUGCAUCUAGAAUUUUUUAAUGAAAGGGAAAAAAUACUCCAACAACUUUUUGUAAAAGGAGGAACUACUCUGACACUCAUUGCUAGCCGCUGAGCACCCGCACUGACUGACGCAGUGACCUGGGGACACGACUCAGUGAGAGACGCCUUGCUUUCCUUUUCUGUCAACGGAUGGAGUCGAAGAAAGAUCACUCAAGGUCACUUCCUCCCGAAUACACUGCAUUUCUAAGACUCCACAUGCACGCAGCAAAAGCUCCUGAGGCUCGCUGUGCUGUGUGUUCCACUUUGGGGGAAACCUGAGAGCUGGUGCACCCUUGGGCAGGAGUGGAAAUGACUGCUCAUAGCUGCGACAUGACUCAGCAGGUGUGCCCCUGGGUGGACCCAGGGACUCACGCGCAUGGAAACUUCAUACAUGAACAUUCACUGCAGCACCGUGCUCAACAGCCCAAACGUCCGUCCUCAGGUAACAGGACCUCAGCAAUGUAGCCAUAGAGAAAAGAGCUCUGUUUCUAAAAUUGGACCUGCAUAAAGGGUUUUGGAGGUCUCCAACCCUCCACUUCCUCACACAGUAAGAAGGGGGAUGGAUCGGCUUCUGAAGGGCAUUUUCACAGUGAGCCCCCCACCCCCUCGGCUUUCUCCUCCGCUCUCCCUAAGCUGCUGUGCAGGUGACCUCAAGCCUCGUCCUCACCCUCCUCCUCCUCGAACUCCCCCUGUUCAUCGGCUGUGGCAUCCUGGUACUGCUGGUACUCGGACACCAGGUCGUUCAUGUUGCUCUCGGCCUCGGUGAACUCCAUCUCGUCCAUGCCCUCGCCCGUGUACCAGUGCAGGAA